rnacentral:tRNA from 3 species
GGUGUAGUUCAGUUGGCUAGAGCGCCAGAUUGUGGCUCUGGAGGUCGUGGGUUCGAGCCCCACCAC